rnacentral:rRNA from 1 species
UACGGAGGGUGCAAACGUUGCUCGGAAUCAUUGGGCGUAAAGCGCACGUAGGCGGACCAUCAAGUCGGAUGUGAAAUCCCUCGGCUUAACUGAGGACGUGCAUUCGAAACUGAUGGCCUUGAGUACGAAAGAGGAUCGCGGAAUUCCCGGUGUAGAGGUGAAAUUCGUAGAUAUCGGGAGGAACACCAGUGGCGAAGGCGGCGAUCUGGGUCGAUACUGACGCUGAGGUGCGAAAGCGUGGGGAGCAAACAGG